rnacentral:rRNA from 1 species
UACGGAGGGUGCUAGCGUUGUUCGGAAUCACUGGGCGUAAAGGGCGUGUAGGCGGUUUGUUAAGUCUGAUGUGAAAUCCCCUCGCUCAACGAGGGAACUGCGUCGGAUACUGACAAACUUGAGUACCGGAGAGGAAGGUGGAAUUCCUGGUGUAGCGGUGAAAUGCGUAGAUAUCGGGAGGAACAUCUGUGGCGAAGGCGACACCCUGGACCAGCACUGACACUGAGGCACGAAAGCGUGGGGAGCGAACGGG